CGCUAGGUGGCGUUCUAUAAGAGUGACUGCUGCUUUGUCGCUUGCCCUUUGACCUCUCGCUGGGUGCCCUUCGGCAUUCACUUCCGCGUUCGCUUUGUGUCUCUCGGCAGCACAGACAGCCGCUGCAUAAACGGGGUUAAUGCCGCUCGCGGACCCAUGCCGCGCGCAACUAAACUCAAGGCUCCCGUGUCUGCGCCUCUCGCCUCUCAAUGAGCGACAAGCUUGAUGUCAGGUGACGUUGCCGUCUUGCCCGUGUGCAAAGUUUCGAGCUGACACAUAUUGCAUGUUUGUUGUGCUGGUUCUGCAUUUCCACCGGUCCCAUCUGCUUGCUGUUAAUGCCGCUUUUCUACUGCGGCUACUGCACGCUUGGUAAAUGCGAGCGACCCUCCAGUGUCUACAACUAGCUGGGGGCUACGUUUGGGGCUUUCUGCGGGAGCUACCCCACUCCCCCCUACGGAACGCUUUUCCCUCACCAAACAACGAACUGUGCCGCUCGCGUUGACUUGAGUCAAAUCAGAACUGACUGAACUGUUGCUCUAUUUUGCACCGAAAUGUUUAUGUUGUAAAAAUUGUGUUUUAUUUCCCAGGAGCUGCGGGUCAAAUGGUGGUGGUUGUGGUGGUGGUGGUCCUUCGGUGGUGGCAACUUUGGGCCUCAUUCACGAAACGUUCUUAUGUACAAAUGUGUUAUUAAAGCCUUCUUACGAAGAUUUUUGGCAUUCACGAAACGUGUUCUUAACUCCCAGUUCUUAGAUCUAAGAACAAAUUCCACGAACGCUCAGGAGGACUCUUACGCACAAGCAAAGCUUGCACUUUCAAUGCGCAAUCGCCCUCAUGAUGGAUUUUGCAACCUGAUCCCAAAAAAUGUAGUGCAAAUAAAAUAUCCCAACAAUGAUUUAUCAUCAAAACAACUCAAAUAUACUCCAUGGAUAAAUAUAUAUUCAAAUCCCAAUUCAUCAAAAAAAGGCUGGCUGGACGUGCGCUGCACAGAGAGAGAAUGUAAAGGGACCAUUAGAUUUAUUUGCUGAAAGCCACCAAUAUUUGAUGUCCGCUUCAGGCUUCAGGCUUCCCUCUCUGUUCUUGCAGGUGUGCAGGAUCAUCAGAAUAACAUCGCAAUGAAACGUGGUGUGUCUAUUGCGCACCCCCAGAUAACGACAUGCGCCCCCAGCCACGUCUUGAGCCAGAGCACGGGGCUGCUGUAUUAAUUAGGCAGCGUCUAAUCAAAUGUAACCACAGAAAAAAUACAUUGUCACACACAAACUAUGUAUUUUGACUUUAUUUUUCCAUCAUGAUUGUGUAAAUAUUUUCUAGAGUUUCCGAAAUGGUUUGGUUUCUGAUUGAUGGCCCACCUCCCGUUUCCUCCAGAUCCCUCCGGUGGUUUGGUUUUGUUGUGUUUUGGUGCUUUAUUUAGGUUGCCCCAUUUAGUUUCCCCCAUCCAUCCAGCCUAACUCCAGCUCCCUGGCUCUUUGAGGGUGAGUGUAUGUGGGUGUGUGCGUGUGAGUUUAUUGCCGCCAAAUUUUUCAGAAGACAAGAGCCACUAUUUUCAUCAGCUUGAAAUAAAAGUCUGUUUUAAGGAUUUGGAAUAAGAAUAAUAAAUAUUGUAAAUGGAGCCAGUGUCUCUGUCGCCUCAUUCAAGGUAAGCUUAUCUGUGUGCCUUAGUUUCAUUAUUCCCCUCUUAGGGGUGGCGUUGUUGAACCCCCUACCCUCCCCGCCACACAAGUCAACAAAGCACUGUGGGAUUUCUAACUGUAUAUUUAUCUUUGGAAUAAAAGAAUGGUCCAUAUUUCCAAAAUUGCUAUCCCUUUACACUAAACUUGAUGAAGUUCAUUUUUCUGUUUUUUUUAUCAUUUCACCAGAAUGUUUCCUGAGGCCCGGUGGUUGGGCACCCCCUCAUUACAGCAUGCUUGGGGAUAUGAUGUGCUCUCCGACACAUUUGAAAAUACUGUAAGAAUGACACUUUUAUUUUCAUGUCUACGUCAACAACCUUUGAAUUGUAUCGAAUUGUAUGGUAUCGUUUCUACACUGUAUCGAAUCCUGUUUUAAAAUAUAUGUUUUUUGAAUGGUAUCGUAAUCUGUGUAUCUAUAUCCAUAUCGAAUCAUCUGUCAAAGAGAUUGACAUCCCUCGUGUCCAGGAUACGUGUUACCUUCAGGAUUUUUAGUGAUCUAUUCUUUCUAAUCAAUACACUUGGGGGAAGUGAGGUUUUUUUUACAUCACGUUUCCACAGAAGGUGAAGUUUUAUUCUUGUGCUAACUAACAAUGCUCUGAAGAACAAAGAGUCUUUGUUGAAGAGUCUCGCAUGGAGUUUGAAGCGGGGUCCACCACAAGCUCUGUGUUACAUUCAAGGUACGUCGCCAUAUUUGUGACAAUUUAAGGGAAGUUUAUGGUGAUAGAUAUAGAUGAAAUAGCGCUGCACACCAAAGUACGACUUGCUAUGUCACGCUUUUGGUACUUCUUUCAGGAGAGUGAGCCACCACCGUGUCACAGCCCGUCAUCACCUUUUAACAAUCGUCAUACAGCACGUCAGUUGAAAUGAAUACAAUGUUCUUAAAAACACACAAUCGUCGUCUCGCUCGCUCUUUGGUUUUGCACAAACACAAUAAGGAGGCACUGAACACUCUGGUUUGACCGCAAUCUCAGCGUGAUGUGUUGAAAUGAGGUGGCACAAUGUGAACUGGGUUUCGCACUAAUACCUCUUUGUAGGACUGCUUAAAGGAAAAGUGCACUUUUUUUGGAAUGUUGCCCAUCAUCCACAAUCCUUAUGUGAGACAUGAACACACGUCUUUCUCUUUUCUGUGCCUUCUAAAGAUAUAAAAGCAGAUCAAAAGAGGCAAUGCACGUAAUGGGACACACCUAUUCCGCCUCCGAAAAGCACCAACAAGGCUCCAUUUCCACCAUGUGAGCUGCAUAUGAAGCACAUUGUUAUUAUUAUUGUUAUGAACAUUGUUACGCCCAAGAACUACGUUACUGGCGUAGUGACACCUCACCACACCACACAUGCUAGCUACUAGCCGGCUAGGGUCUAGCUUCACCACACACUAGCCAAAGGUAAUGCUCCAUAUUGGAGCUGUGUUGUUGUUUUUGACGCUAGGUGUAGCGUUCCCAGCUACAGUAUGUUGCUAUGUGAAAUCAAUGCACCUCAGA